rnacentral:rRNA from 1 species
UACAGAGGUCUCGAGCGUUAGGCGGAAUCACUGGGCUUAAAGCGUGUGUAGGUGGAUCGUUAAGUACCUUGUGAAAUCCCACGGCUUAACCGUGGAACUGCUUGGUAUACUGGCGGUCUUGAGUCAGCUAGGGGCUACCGGAACAAAUGGUGGAGCGGUGAAAUGCGUAGAUAUCAUUUGGAACGCCAAUGGUGAAAACAGGUAGCUGGGCUGUACUGACACUGAGACACGAAAGCCCAGGGGAGCAAACGGG